rnacentral:rRNA from 1 species
AUAGGCCGCAGGUGGAAGCCGGGCAACCGGUGCAGCCGAGCGGUACUAAUAGGCCGUGCGGCUUGGCCG